GACGAACCGUCCUAACGUUGUUCGGAUUCACUGGGCUUAAAGGGCGCGUAGGCGGACUGGUAAGUCCGGGGUGAAAUCUUUCGGCUCAACCGGAAAAGUGCCUUGGAAACUGCCAGUCUCGAGGGGGGUAGGGGCCUGUGGAACUUCGGGUGGAGCGGUGAAAUGCGUUGAUAUCCGAAGGAACGCCGGUGGCGAAAGCGACGGGCUGGACCCCUUCUGACGCUGAGGCGCGAAAGCCAGGGGAGCAAACGGG
rnacentral:rRNA from 1 species